rnacentral:lncRNA from 1 species
CGAGCUAUGAACCCUGCAUUUACGAUUGCAAAAUUAAAAUAAUGUUUCUUUUUCUGUGGUCUAGGCCAAUUAUUUUUUACCUAUUUUUAUCACGUUUUUUUUUUUUGAUCAAACACUUAUAUUAGAACUUGAACAAAUGUUACACUCCAUUAUGGGAGGACAAAGCUACAAACAUUGUUUACACAUGAGAUAAAAGAAAGGCAGAUAGAGGAGAAGGUUUCUUUCAGGCAAGAAAUGAUUUGAAGAUGGAAUUUAAAAUUUAUAACCAUUAUAUCACACAUUAUCAUAUAUUUUUCUAGCUGUUGAUGAAAUAUAUAACUAAACAUUAAUUUUUUU